GACGAACGCUGGCGGCGUGCUUAACACAUGCAAGUCGAACGGAAAGGCCCUGCUUUUGUGGGGUGCUCGAGUGGCGAACGGGUGAGUAACACGUGAGUAACCUGCCCUUGACUUUGGGAUAACUUCAGGAAACUGGGGCUAAUACCGGAUAGGAGCUCCUGCUGCGUGGUGGGGGUUGGAAAGUUUCGGCGGUUUGGGAUGGACUCGCGGGUUAUCCGCUUGUUGGUGGGGUAGUGGCUUACCAGGGCUUUGAAGGGUAGCCGGCCUGAGAGGGUGGCCGGCCACAUUGGGACUGCGAUACGGCCCAGACGCCUACGGGAGGCAGCAGUGGGGAGUAUGGCACAAUGGGCGGAAGCCUGAUGCAGCAACGCCGCGUGCGGGAUGACGGCCUUUGGGUGGUAAACCGCUGUCGCCUGUGACGAAGCGUGAGUGACGGUAAUGGGUAAAGAAGCACCGGCUAACUACGUG
rnacentral:rRNA from 1 species